rnacentral:rRNA from 1 species
UUAGAGUUUGAUCUGNGCUCAGGAUGAACGCUGGCGGCGUGCCUAACACAUGCAAGUCGAGCGAUCUUCUUCGGAAGAGAGCGGCGGACGGGUGAGUAACGCGUGGGUAACCUGCCUCAUACACAUGGAUAACAUACCGAAAGGUAUGCUAAUACAAGAUGAUAUAAGAGAUUCGCAUGGAUUUCUUAUCAAAGCUCCGGCGGUAUGAGAUGGACCCGCGUCUGAUUAGCUAGUUGGUAAGGUAACGGCUUACCAAGGCGACGAUCAGUAGCCGACCUGAGAGGGUGAUCGGCCACAUUGGAACUGAGACACGGUCCAAACUCCUACGGGAGGCAGCAGUGGGGAAUAUUGCACAAUGGGCGAAAGCCUGAUGCAGCAACGCCGCGUGAGCGAUGAAGGCCUUCGGGUCGUAAAGCUCUGUCCUCAAGGAAGAUAGUGACGGUACUUGAGGAGGAAGCCCCGGCUAACUACGUGCCAGCAGCCGCGGUAAUACGUAGGGGGCUAGCGUUAUCCGGAUUUACUGGGCGUAAAGGGUGCGUAGGUGGUUUCUUAAGUCAGGAGUGAAAGGCUACGGCUCAACCGUAGUAAGCUCUUGAAACUGGGAAACUUGAGUGCAGGAGAGGAAAGUGGAAUUCCUAGUGUAGCGGUGAAAUGCGUAGAUAUUAGGAGGAACACCAGUAGCGAAGGCGGCUUUCUGGACUGUAACUGACACUGAGGCACGAAAGCGUGGGGAGCAAACAGGAUUAGAUACCCUGGUAGUCCACGCCGUAAACGAUGAGUACUAGGUGUCGGGGGUUACCCCCCUCGGUGCCGCAGCUAACGCA